rnacentral:rRNA from 1 species
GAGCGGAGUGAAAUAGUACCUGAAACCGUGUGCCUACAAGCCGUGGGAGCGUCGCUGGCAGCACUUGUGCUGUCAGUCGUGACUGCGUGCCUUUUGAAGAAUGAGCCUGCGAGUUAGCGGUGUGUAGCGAGGUUAACCCGUGUGGGGAAGCCGUAGCGAAAGCGAGUCCGAACAGGGCGAUGUAGUUGCACGCUCUAGACCCGAAGCGGAGUGAUCUAGCCAU